rnacentral:rRNA from 1 species
UCGAACGCGAAAGCCCCGCAAGGGGUAAGUAGAGUGGCAAACGGGUGAGUAACACGUGGGUGACCUGCCUUCGAGUGGGGGAUAACGUCCCGAAAGGGACGCUAAUACCGCAUGACAUCCCGCCUUUGAACAGGUGGAGAUCAAAGCUGGGGAUCGCAAGACCUAGCGCUCAAAGAGGGGCCCGCGCCUGAUUAGCUAGUUGGUGGGGUAACGGCUCACCAAGGCAACGAUCAGUAUCCGGCCUGAGAGGGCGGACGGACACACUGGGACUGAGACACGGCCCAGACUCCUACGGGAGGCAGCAGUGGGGAAUUGUUCGCAAUGGGCGCAAGCCUGACGACGCAACGCCGCGUGGAGGAUGAAGACCUUCGGGUCGUAAACUCCUUUCGAUCGAGACGAACGAUCUCCGGGUAAACAAUCCGGAGAAGUGACGGUACCGAGAGAAGAAGCCCCGGCUAACUCCGUGCCAGCAGCCGCGGUAAUACGGGGGGGGCAAGCGUUGUUCGGAAUUACUGGGCGUAAAGGGCUCGUAGGCGGCCAACUAAGUCAGACGUGAAAUCCCUCGGCUUAACCGGGGAAUGGCGUCUGAUACUGGAUGGCUUGAGUGUGGGAGAGGGAUGCGGAAUUCCAGGUGUAGCGGUGAAAUGCGUAGAUAUCUGGAGGAACACCGGUGGCGAAGGCGGCAUCCUGGACCA